UUUGCAUCUCUCUCCUCCUCACUUUGAGGAUGAUAGCGAGGAGGAAGAUGAGGGUGCCCUUCGCUUCAUCCUUGGAUUCGUUAUUUGGGGUGGAGCAUGUGUCAUCAUUAUCGGGUGGUGAAGCUUUUCAAAAAGUUGAAGAAGGCGGAGGGGAGGCCAACUUGGAGCUGACAGAGGUUGUAGAUGACUUGGUCUACUUUCCUAGUAAGUGUGCGGUGGUGGAGCUUGGCUCUUGCGAGAUGGGGGAUGGAGGAUGGUCUAGUGGAGGCUAUGGUGGAGCGAGGCUCCCACGCCAUUUUGGAGCUUGGUCUCCGUGAUGGCAGACUUGAGAACGGGCCACUUGAGCCAGUGGUGGAGCGGGGCUCCCACAUCUUUGACCCGAGCCUCGGAGACACAGUGGAGAUACCGCCCACGGUGGAGCUUGGCUCCCGUCCUCAUGGCUUGAGUGAACUUGGGGCAGUGAAGCUUGGCUCCCAUCCUAAUGGCUCACCAGUGAAUGAUCCAGUGGAGAAAGCGACUCGUGCUAUGAUGGUUGAGAUGAGCUCCCACGUCGGUGCGAAGAUGGCAGGGGUGGAGCUUAGCUCCCUCGCAGGUGGAUUCAGGUUUGAUAGACAGGUGACUAGUUGGAAAGAUUUUGAGACUCGAGUGGCGAUGGUUGAGCUGCGCUCCCUCAUUGGCAAGAGGACUGCAGGGGUGGAGCUUGGUUUCCUCGCCAGAGCUUUUAGGUUUGGGCAUCAUGCGAUUAAUCCAGCGGAGAGAGAAAGAUGUGCGAGGAUGGAUGCGCUAUGCUCCCAUGUUGGUGAGCGGACGACAGAGGUGGAGCUUAGCUUCCUCAUCAGUGUUUGCAAGGUUGGACGGCUAGAGAAUGGUCGGACGGAUAGAGUAACUCGUGUGGCAUCGGUUGAGCUGCAUUCCCACGCCGUCUUCUCCCUGUUGUCUCUUUAGCAUUGUGGUGGCAGAAUCGAGAGGUUCUUCUAGUCCCGAUUGUCAAACGAGGAUCCAAGCGACUUCCAAAUACAAGGUUCUUUUGUGGAGAGUUAAGUGGGAGUCAAUUUAGAUUUUUGUGGAUUUAGCGAAUAUCAGGUAAG